AAUGCACAACUUCUCUCGAACUAUGUACACUUCACGAAACAUAUUCAUUCAUUGACCACAUAAAUGAAAAUACAAUAAAUACAAUAGUAGAAACACAUGGAAAUAGGCAAUUUAAUAUCAAAUAGCAAAUAUUGAAAAUCAAUUAAACCUAGGUCAAACUACUACCAUAAAUCCCAACGAAAUACUUAGCCCAUUUUAUACAUAUGAUGGAAAGGAGAAUGUUUAUAGCAAUACAUUACAAAUAU
rnacentral:lncRNA from 1 species